rnacentral:rRNA from 1 species
GUCUUUUUGAGUUUAAUACAAGGUCUAACCUGCCCAUUGAAUAUUUUUUAAAAGGCUGCGGUAUUUUGACCGUACAAAGGUAGCAUAGUCAUUAGUUUUUUAAUUGGAAACUUGUAUGAAUGGUUGAAUGAAAAAUUAACUUUUUUUUAAAAAAUAUUGAAUUUUACUUUUUAAUUAAAAGGUUAAAAUACAUUUAAAAGACGAGAAGACCCUAUAGAGUUUAAUAAAUUAUACUUUAUUAGUAAAAAAGAUUAAUUUCAUUAUUAAAUAAUAAAUUAUUUUAUUGGGGUGAUAUUAAAAUUUAAUUAACUUUUAUUAAUUAAUUACAUUAAUAUAUGAAUUACUGAUCCAGUAAUAUUGAUUAUAAAUUCAAAUUACCUUAGGGAUAACAGCGUAAUUUUUUUUUAAGUUCAUAUUAAUAAAAAAUUUUGCGACCUCGAUGUUGGAUUAAGAUUUAAUUUUAGGUGCAGCAGUUUAAAAUUUAAGUCUGUUCGACUUUUAAAUUCUU